GAAAUGUAUGAGCUGCUAUAGGCUAAUAUUGCCGCUCAGGUUUGUUUAUCCGUGAAGACAAGGGGUUAAAACUCGUGACUUCGGCCCUGUGAGGUUUCUGAUUGGCUGGCACGUUGCCAGAGUGCUGUCAAUCACCGAGUGUAAACAAGGCUCUGAUUGGCUGCUGGCCAGUCCGCACUGGGCUGCCUGAAAAAAGCAAUUACUGCCCCUGCGGUUUCAAGGCGGCCCCGCGCUGAACGAUGAAAGGAGAUAAGGAGGGGCGGUUUCAAGGCGCCCCCCACGGCGAACCCCGUUGGCCCCAGAGCAAAAGGAGAGUCAAGAGUGACUAAAUCAAAGGGAAUACGGUAAAAGGGGGGAAAUUACACGUUGUAUUAAAUAUAGAGGCUAGAUUCGCGGAAUGGUGCAAUAACAACGUUGUGUUUAGAAAAUGGAGGAGAGAAAGGCAACAAGAACCGGAAAUAUGCUAUUGUGCUGCAGCGAGGGAGCUUCUUUUCCACAAACGAAGAGGGAGAAAAGUUUUUCUUAACAAUGGACACGAUGGAAAGAAAGCGAUAGGACGGAUGCCGCUGAUUCUGAUCGUCCUGACAGAUAGGCCAGAGAGCCCCAUGCCUCACAACGGGUCAGGGGAUGCGAAACGGCUGGCACGAAAAAUAAAAUAGUGCAGUAAAACGCCGUAGCCCUCCAUCAAGUCGCUUUAAAAGGGUUGAAUUGUGGAGCCAAACUGUUGACUAAAGACACAUGUCGACAGACACCUUUAGAUGAAGAGGAUGAUGCAGCAGAGGGCGAUGAUGAUGAUGGUGGGAAUAGCUCAAGCACCAAAUUAGUACCUGUCAGGCUGUCAUAUAUUGGGCUGUAACCACCACCAGGCCUGUAUGGAUGAGAUGAAAGCUCCACCAUCUAUUUAUGUGCCAUCAAGACGUGCAGGUGGAGGCUUUAAUUAUUAUCACUGGAACACAAACAC